rnacentral:rRNA from 1 species
GACGAACGCUGGCGGCGUGCUUAACACAUGCAAGUCGAACGGAAAGGCCCUGCUUGCAGGGUACUCGAGUGGCGAACGGGUGAGUAACACGUGGGUGAUCUGCCCUGCACUUCGGGAUAAGCCUGGGAAAUUGGGUCUAAUACCGGAUAGGAGCCAUUUUUAGUGUGAUGGUUGGAAAGUUUUUUCGGUGUAGGAUGAGCUCGCGGCCUAUCAGCUUGUUGGUGGGGUAAUGGCCUACCAAGGCGGCGACGGGUAGCCGGCCUGAGAGGGUGGACGGCCACAGUGGGACUGAGAUACGGCCCAGACUCCGACGGGAGGCAGCAGGGGGGAAUAUUGCACAAUGGGCGCAAGCCUGAUGCAGCGACGCCGCGUGGGGGAUGACGGCCUUCGGGUUGUAAACUCCUUUCGCUAGGGACGAAGCUUUUUGUGACGGUACCUAGAGAAGAAGCACCGGCUAACUACGUG